UCGGGAAUUUUGGGCAAUGGGGGAAACCCUGACCCAGCAACGCCGCGUGAAGGAUGAAGUAUUUCGGUAUGUAAACUUCGAAAGAAUAGGAAGAAUAAAUGACGGUACUAUUUAUAAGGUCCGGCUAACCACGUGCCAGCAGCCGCGGUAAUACGUAGGGACCAAGCGUUGUUCGGAUUUACUGGGCGUAAAGGGCGCGUAGGCGGUGUGUCAAGUCAGUUGUGAAAUCUCCGAGCUUAACUCGGAACGGUCAACUGAUACUGUCACACUAGAGUACAGAAGGGGCAAUCGGAAUUCUUGGUGUAGCGGUGAAAUGCGUAGAUAUCAAGAGGAACACCUGAGGCGAAGGCGGGUUGCUGGGCUGAUACUGACACUGAGGUGCGAAAGCAUGGGGAGCAAACAGGAUUAGAUACCCACGUAGUCCCUGAGCGGGCUGGCAAGGCGCAU
rnacentral:rRNA from 1 species